UACGUAGGGUGCAAGCGUUGUCCGGAAUUAUUGGGCGUAAAUAGCUCGUAGGCGGUUUGUCGCGUCUGCUGUGAAAACUCAGGGCUUAACUCUGAGCUUGCAGUGGGUACGGGCAGACUAGAGUGCGGUAGGGGAGACUGGAAUUCCUGGUGUAGCGGUGAAAUGCGCAGAUAUCAGGAGGAACACCGGUGGCGAAGGCGGGUCUCUGGACAGUUCCUGACGCUGAGGCACGAAGGCCAGGGGAGCAAACGGG
rnacentral:rRNA from 1 species